GCGGCAACAGCUCAAAUUUGAAAUCUGGCCCUUUCAGGGCCCGAGUUGUAAUUUGGAGAAGAUGCUUCGGGUGUGGCCCCGGUCUAAGUUCCUUGGAACAGGACGUCACAGAGGGUGAGAAUCCCGUACGUGCCCGGUGGCCGCGCCCGUGUGAAGCUCUUUCGACGAGUCGAGUUGUUUGGGAAUGCAGCUCAAAAUGGGUGGUAAAUUUCAUCUAAAGCUAAAUAUUGGCCAGAGACCGAUAGCGCACAAGUAGAGUGAUCGAAAGAUGAAAAGCACUUUGGAAAGAGAGUUAAACAGUACGUGAAAUUGUUGAAAGGGAAGCGCUUGCAACCAGACUUGCGCGCGGCCGAUCAUCCGGUGUUCGCACCGGUGCACUCGACCGCGCGCAGGCCAGCAUCGGUUUGGGUGGCUGGAGAAAGGCCUCGGGAAUGUGGCUCCCUCCGGGGAGUGUUAUAGCCCGAGGCGCAAUGCAGCCUAUCCGGACCGAGGACCGCGCUUCGGCUAGGAUG
rnacentral:rRNA from 1 species